rnacentral:rRNA from 1 species
UACGGGGGGAGCAAGCGUUGUUCGGAUUUACUGGGCGUAAAGGGCGCGUAGGCGGCCACCGCAAGUCGAUUGUGAAAUCUCCGGGCUUAACCCGGAAAGGUCAGCCGAUACUGCGGGGCUAGAGUGCAGAAGGGGCAACUGGAAUUCUCGGUGUAGCGGUGAAAUGCGUAGAUAUCGAGAGGAACACCUGCGGCGAAGGCGGGUGCUGGGCUGACACUGACGCUGAUGCGCGAAAGCUAGGGGAGCGAACGGG